GUGUCAGCAGCCGCGGUAAUACGAAGGGGGCUAGCGUUGUUCGGAAUUACUGGGCGUAAAGGGCGCGUAGGCGGCCGUUUAAGUUAGGUGUGAAAGUCCUGGGCUCAACCUGGGGACUGCACUUAAUACUGGAUGGCUUGAAUUCGGGAGAGGAUAGCGGAAUUCCCAGUGUAGAGGUGAAAUUCGUAGAUAUUGGGAAGAACACCGGUGGCGAAGGCGGCUAUCUGGACCGACAUUGACGCUGAGGCGCGAAAGCGUGGGGAGCAAACAGGAUUAGAUACCCUGGUAGUCCACGCCGUAAACGAUGAGUGCUAGACGUUGGGAAGCUUAGCUUUUCAGUGUCGCAGCUAACGCAUUAAGCACUCCGCCUGGGGAGUACGGUCGCAAGAUUAAAACUCAAAGGAAUUGACGG
rnacentral:rRNA from 1 species